rnacentral:rRNA from 1 species
ACUGGUGCCAGCAGCGCGGUAAUUCCAGCUCCAAUAGCGUAUAUUAAGUUGUUGCAGUUAAAAAGCUCGUAGUUGAAUUUCGGGGUUAGUAGGUUGGUCAUGCCUCUGGUAUGUACUGGUCUCACUGAUUCCUCCUUCCUGAUGAGCCGUAAUGCCAUUAAUUUGGUGUUGCGGGAAUUUGGACUGUUACUUUGAAAAAAUUAGAGUGUUUAAAGCAAGCUAACGCUUGAAUACAUUAGCAUGGAAUAAUGAAAUAGGACGUUCGAUCCUAAUUUUGUUGGUUUCUAGGAUUGACGUAAUGAUUAAUAGGGAUAAUUGGGGGCAUUAGUAUUCAAUUGUCAGAGGUGAAAUUCUUGGAUUUAUUGAAAGACUAACUACUGCGAAAGCAUUUGCCAAGGAUGUUUUCAUUAAUCAAGAACGAAAGUUAGGGGAUCGAAGACGAUCAGAUACCGUCGUAGUCUUAACCAUAAACUAUGCCGACUAGGGAUCGGAUGAUGUUAAUUUUUUUAAUGACUCAUUCGGCGCCUUACG